rnacentral:rRNA from 1 species
CACGCCGUAAACGAUGUCGACUUGGAGGUUGUUCCCUUGAGGAGUGGCUUCCGGAGCUAACGCGUUAAGUCGACCGCCUGGGGAGUACGGCCGCAAGGUUAAAACUCAAAUGAAUUGACGGGGGCCCGCACAAGCGGUGGAGCAUGUGGUUUAAUUCGAUGCAACGCGAAGAACCUUACCUACUCUUGACAUCCAGAGAACUUAGCAGAGAUGCUUUGGUGCCUUCGGGAACUCUGAGACAGGUGCUGCAUGGCUGUCGUCAGCUCGUGUUGUGAAAUGUUGGGUUAAGUCCCGCAACGAGCGCAACCCUUAUCCUUUGUUGCCAGCGAUUCGGUCGGGAACUCAAAGGAGACUGCCGGUGAUAAACCGGAGGAAGGUGGGGAUGACGUCAAGUCAUCAUGGCCCUUACGAGUAGGGCUACACACGUGCUACAAUGGCGCAUACAAAGAGAAGCGACCUCGCGAGAGCAAGCGGACCUCAUAAAGUGCGUCGUAGUCCGGAUCGGAGUCUGCAACUCGACUCCGUGAAGUCGGAAUCGCUAGUAAUCGUGGAUCAGAAUGCCACGGUGAAUACGUUCCCGGGCCUUGUACACACCGCCCGUCACACCAUGGGAGUGGGUUGCAAAAGAAGUAGGUAGCUUAACCUUCGGGAGGGCGCUUACCACUUUGUGAUUCAUGACUGGGGUGAAGUCGUAACAAGGUA